AUGGAGAUGACUCUGCUGUCCAUCACAGUGUGGUUCACUCAGUUCCUCAUUGCCUCAGCUCUUUAUUUCAACACACUGCCAGCAAACACCCAAAGCGACUACGCUAAAAUCACACAAAUAACUCCAGCAACAACAAAAACAAACCCAGAACCUGGGAUCUUUAUAAAUGCAACAUCUUCAUCACCUCUGACUGCAACAACACAGGAAAACAUAACAAAUUUACCCAGUGAAGUGCACACACUGCCAAAUAUAACCCCAGAUGUGACUCUCACACAGGAAACAGCAUCCCUAUAUCAAGACAACAGCACUAGUCCAUCUCAAAAUGACAUGAUGGAUGAUGGCGUGAGUAUUGCUAUGAGCCAUGCGAUUACAAGUCAUGCAACAGUUUCCCCUAGCUUUGCAAGACUGACGCCACAAAAGGACGACAGCAGUGAAACAGGAACAAUGUCAAGUAUGAGUUACAGUUAUGAUGGGCACACUGAUCAGACUGCAGAAACCUUAUCAGACUCAGUCAACAGUGUCUCGACAGCUCCCUGGAGACAUUCGACAGAGAAAGAGGAUGAGAGAACGAAGGCCGAUGAAGGAAAUUAUGAAACGAACUCCACCCAGGCCACAUUUGCCAAUACGAACGAGGAGUUGAGAGAAACACGAGGCACUGCGGGAACUUACAAUUUCACAAGUGAACACCGAGAAGAACAACAUUACGACACAGCAGCGAACACAACUGAUGUAAGUGCUACAACAGCAACAGGGAGUAACCAAUGGGCAGUUUCACCAAACACAGAUGUUCCCACGACCACACCGGCUUACACAACAGCACAAGACCUGACGGUUACAGAUGUGCCUGAAUAUCACACCUCAACAGAUGAAGUAAAACACUCUACGACACCACAGAGUAUACAUAGGUUCACAAACUCUACAGCACCCACAGGAAGAGAAAACAGGACAGGAACAGACACACCCGGUGGUACCACCACCACCACCACCAACAGCAACAUCUCUGUUAUAACGGAUGUCCUAACUGACUUCAGCCUAAAUGCCACCACCAACAGAACAAACAAAACUGACACAGAAAACAAAGCGUGGCCUGCAUGUUUGAACCCAAACCCAGAAUCUCAUUCUCGGCAAUCCAGGCUGGUCUGCUUCAUCACAUUGUGGGCUUUAGCAAUGAUUGCCACCAUAUUCCUGGGAAUCACCAUUUUCCUUUUGGUCCGUCUGUCUGUCUUCAAAAAAAAGAUGAAGCGGAGAGUGAAAGGAGGUCAGAAGUGUGAGAAGGAGAGCCUCUGGGCCGACCCCAAAGCUUCAGUGCAGGAGAGAGUGGAGUUCUGGUACAUCAAUGGAUCCACGCUGGAGGCCGAUAGGAAAGAGAAGGACAGAAGGAAAGAGAAGAGGAUGAAGGGAAGAGGACAGGAUCAGGAGAACGAGGAGAACGGGCUGUGGAUUCAGCCUAGGGUGACUGUCGAUGAUAUAACAGAGUUCUGGUACGCGAACAGACGCAUUAAGGAAGAGAGGAUGCAGUACUUAUAG
rnacentral:lncRNA from 1 species